rnacentral:rRNA from 1 species
ACAGUGUCUGGUGGGUAGUUUGACUGGGGCGGUCUCCUCCCAAAGAGUAACGGAGGAGCACGAAGGUUAGCUAAUCCUGGUCGGACAUCAGGAGGUUAGUGCAAUGGCAUAAGCUAGCUUGACUGCGAGCGUGACGGCGCGAGCAGGUGCGAAAGCAGGUCAUAGUGAUCCGGUGGUUCUGAAUGGAAGGGCCAUCGCUCAACGGAUAAAAGGUACUCCGGGGAUAACAGGCUGAUACCGCCCAAGAGUUCAUAUCGACGGCGGUGUUUGGCACCUCGAUGUCGGCUCAUCACAUCCUGGGGCUGAAGUAGGUCCCAAGGGUAUGGCUGUUCGCCAUUUAAAGUGGUACGCGAGCUGGGUUUAGAACGUCGUGAGACAGUUCGGUCCCUAUCUGCCGUGGGCGCUGGAGAAUUGAGGGGGGCUGCUCCUAGUACGAGAGGACCGGAGUGGACGCAUCACUGGUGUUCGGGUUGUCAUGCCAAUGGCACUGCCCGGUAGCUAAAUGCGGAAGAGAUAAGUGCUGAAAGCAUCUAAGCACGAAACUUGCCCCGAGAUGAGUUCUCCCUGAGACUUUAAGUCUCCUGAAGGAACGUUGAAGACGACGACGUUGAUAGGCCGG